AGAGACACUAUUACGAAAAUUGGGUAAGAUGAUCAACAUAAAUAAUCAUUAAUUUGUGAUAUACCUAUUGUCAGGUGUUUGUGAUUAAACUUAAUAAAACUAUUUUUUUUUGUUCACAGUCCAACAAGUAAUGAUGAAAUGUACAACUUAUAUAUUAUGUACUGAGUGGAAGCAGAGGUGAAUAGUCUACUGCUUACUGUUAAGUUUUCUAUGUAGGGACUUCUACAUGACAAAAUUGUAAUUAUUUUUAUCAAUUCACCACCUGAGUGGACAGUUUUCCAUUUAAUAGUGNAAAAAAUUAAAAAAAAAAAAAAAAAAAAAAAAAAAAAAACAUAGGAAGCUGAAUGAGAAAAUAUAAGAAUUGUAUAAAUAUCAUUAAAUCAUAUUAUCAUAAUGGUUCAACAUUGACAAAUUACCAACUGAAAUAAUAAUUAUAAAAUGAUUUUUUAUUUAUUUUGACAUACAAAUCCAAAACAAUAAAAUAUAUGUUUUUCCAGUUCAUUUGUUUGAAUUUAAUAUUUAUUUCUUAAAAGUUAAAUUCACUCUUGUAGGUAAACAUAAAUACAUAAUUACAAGUAUUAUUAAUACAAAUAUUGAUUAAACAUUUCACAUUAAAAUAAAAUAUGAUGUAUUGUAUAGGUAGGUAUAUUUAAUACUGAACAUUAAAUAGGAUAAUUAAUUGAUCAUUUUUUGUUUAAAUUUUAAAAUUCCCAAAACAAAUUUAAAACCAAAAUUAGCACCUAUAUCUUAAUUAUUUAAAUAUAGCCUAGAUAUUUUCUUUUCUUUAACCUAAUUUUUUUUACAGAAAACUAAUUUGAUGAGGGGGUUUAAAUUCAUGAACUACAAUAAAUAUCCAUUUUUGUUUAUUUAUCAAAACUUUAAAUAUUCUAUAGAAAUAAACAUUUGUUCAUUGUUCAAUUAUAUCAUAUAUGUAUUGAUUAAGUUAAAAUAAUGUGAGACCUUUAAUUACUAGCUCUGACCAACUAAAGAAUAUAACAAAAACAUGUUUAUUCAGACUGAUUAUAAUUAAUUUAGUUUUAGUUUUAAAGCACCUAAUUAUAAAACUAAAAGUGGAUAAUAUUCUGGAGAACACCUUGUUGCCAUCAUUUUAAACGUGAUGUACAUUAUUAUGAAAUGUUUUAAUAUUUUAAAAUUACUGUAAAUUUUUUAAAUGUUUAUUUUAUUUUAACCACAGUAUGGUGCCCUACUAAAUAUUAGUCUUCUUUUAGUUUUAUAGCAAGUGCUUUUAUUCUAAAACUAAAAUUAAACAAGGUUUACUCAGUCUGUAUUAUAAUAUUUUUGCUAUGUUGCUUAUUAAUUGGACUGAAAUAAUACAUAAGGGUAACAUAUCAUGUCCUUUUAAUAACUAGACAUAUUUAAUAUAACCUACCAUUUGAAGGAUUACUUUUAAAUUUUGAGAGUUUGAAACUCAUUUCUAAGUAUUAUUGUAUUAAUACUUGUACCAGUUGCAAAUCUGUCAUCAGUGGGAUAUUUUUAGAAAAUAUAAAAUAUUUUGAACAAAAAUAAUAAUGACUAGUAAAUUGUAUGUUGAGAUACUACACAUUGGUAUUAAGUACUUACCUAUAUUAAUAGUGUUGCAUGAUUUAUAAAUUAAUUGUGUAUAAUUAACAGUUAAUCAAAAUUGUUGAAAUUAAUUGUGUCAAGGUGUCAUAUAAGAAUAACUUAUAGAAAUUAAUAUAAAAAAUAAAUAUAUGUACUAAGGUAUCUUUUGGUGAUAGAAUUGUAUGAUCUUUAAUUAUUACUUUGUUUUGUAAAAUGGUAACUUUAAUAAUACCAAUUUGAUNCUACUACAUUUUUGAUAAGGAAUACCUAGGGAAUAAGGAAUUCAUACCAUCAAAUAUGUAGGUGUAGAAUAUGCACUAUAGUGUAAAUUCCAUGUAAAAUAGUGUACGUUUUAAUUACAUUUUAAAAAUGUACAAGUUAAUUAUAGGUAUUUAUCUACUUUGGAAUUGAUUUAUUUAUUUAACUGAGGAAACAAGAACAUUUCCUUUAUGUACUUAUGACUAAUGAUAUUUGAUGUACAUAAUAUUAUUUGUACACUAAAUAAAUGUGUAAAUAUAUCUGUCAAGUAUAUAUUGGUGUAUGAUUAAAAAAAAGGUAAAGCAGUUAAACUUCCACUUGAAAAUAAUAGUAUGCCAUUGUUGUCCACAUUGACUACUCAGUUUCCAUGAACGAAUGGCCUGAUAUUUCACACUGAAAAUAAAUGAUGGUGAGUUCCAUGUAUUUGACAUGUUAUUUAAAUUAAUACUGAACUGGGUUAUAAGUGCACUUUUCAAUGGAAGCACUUGCAUAUAAAAUCGCCAGUAAUGCUCUAGUAGGUAGUUUGUGGUCCUAUUUCAAUAGUAUUGCAAAUUAGGCACUCUC
rnacentral:lncRNA from 1 species